rnacentral:tRNA from 1 species
CGCGGCGUACCCAAGUGGUCGAAGGGGACGGUCUCAUAGCCCGUUAUCCGCAGGUUCGAAUCCUGCCGCCGCGU